GCCAGAAGCGAUAGCAUGUUGAAUGUAUCACAGUUCCCAAAGGAUCAUGUAAAUUAAGUAACAUUGUGCAUGAUCAGAAUCUAGAGGGUGACCAUCCAGGUAAAUAUAUGCUGCUAGCU
rnacentral:rRNA from 1 species